rnacentral:tRNA from 1 species
GCGCCGAUGUGUUGUCGAGCGAAGUGGUAGGACACGAGCUUCCCAAGCUCGGAGCCCGGGUUCAAUUCCCGGUCGGCGCA